rnacentral:rRNA from 1 species
UCGAGAAUCUUCCGCAAUGGACGCAAGUCUGACGGAGCGACGCCGCGUGUAGGACGAAGGCCCUUGGGUUGUAAACUACUGUCACGAGUCAUGAAUGCGUAGGCGUAAACACCGCCUGCGUUGACGCAAGCUCGAGAGGAAGCACCGGCUAACUCUGUGCCAGCAGCCGCGGUAACACAGAGGGUGCAAACGUUGUUCGGAAUCACUGGGCAUAAAGCGCACGUAGGCGGCUUGGUAAGUGUGGAGUGAAAGCCCACGGCUCACCCGUGGAACUGCUUCGCAUACUGCCUGGCUCGAGGACGGUAGGGGAGAGCAGAACUCCUGGAGGAGCGGUGAAAUGCGUAGAUAUCAGGAGGAAUACCAGUGGCGAAGGCGGCUCUCUGGUCCGUUUCUGACGCUGAGGUGCGAAAGCUAGGGUAGCGAACGGGAUUAGAUACCCCGGUAGUCCUAGCCGUAAACGAUGGGCACUAACUAGAGGUCUUCCG